GAUGAAGAACGCAGCGAAAUGCGAUACGUAAUGUGAAUUGCAGAAUUCAGUGAAUCAUCGAAUCUUUGAACGCAUAUUGCGCUCUUUGGUAUUCCGAAGAGCAUGCUUGUUUGAGUAUCAGUAAACACCUCAACCUCUUCUUGAUUUUUCAAAAGGAGGGUGGACUUGAGCUAUCCCAACAACCUUUACCGGUCGGCGGGCGGCUUGAAAUGCAGGUGCAGCUGGACUUUUAUCUGAGCUAAAAGCAUAUCUAUUUAGUCCUCGUCAAACAGGAUUAUUACUUUUGCUGCAGCUAACAUAAAGGAUAAUUGUCCUCUUUGCUGACUGAUGCAGGAUUUUACGGCACUUUAUGUGUUGUUCAACUCGAUCUCAAAUCAAGUAAGACUACCCGCUGAACUUAAGCAUAUCAAUAAGCGGAGGA
rnacentral:misc_RNA from 1 species